rnacentral:rRNA from 1 species
AUUGAACGCUGGCGGCAGGCCUAACACAUGCAGGUCGAACGGUAACAGGAAGAAGCUUGCUUCUUUGCUGACGAGUGGCGGACGGGUGAGUAAUGUCUGGGAAACUGCCUGAUGGAGGGGGAUAACUACUGGAAACGGUAGCUAAUACCGCAUAACGUCGCAAGACCAAGAGGGGGACCUUCGGGCCUCUUGCCAUCGGAUGUGCCCAGAUGGGAUUAGCUAGUAGGUGGGGUAACGGCUCACCUAGGCGACGAUCCCUAGCUGGUCUGAGAGGAUGACCAGCCACACUGGAACUGAGACACGGUCCAGACUCCUACGGGAGGCAGCAGUGGGGAAUAUUGCACAAUGGGCGCAAGCCUGAUGCAGCCAUGCCGCGUGUAUGAAGAAGGCCUUCGGGUCGUAAAGUACUUUCAGCGGGGAGGAAGGGAGUAAAGUUAAUACCUUUGCUCAUUGACGUUACCCGCAGAAGAAGCACCGGCUAACUCCGUG